AAACUCAAAUGAAUUGACGGGGGCCCGCACAAGCGGCGGAGCAUGCGGCUUAAUUCGAUGCAACGCGAAGAACCUUACCUGGGCUUGACAUAUAGGGAAAUCUCAUGGAGACAUGAGGUCCGCAAGGGUCCUAUACAGGUGGUGCAUGGUUGUCGUCAGCUCGUGUCGUGAGAUGUUGGGUUAAGUCCCGCAACGAGCGCAACCCUCGUUCUAUGUUGCCAGCACGUAAUGGUGGGGACUCAUAGGAGACUGCCGGGGUCAACUCGGAGGAAGGUGGGGAUGACGUCAAAUCAUCAUGCCCCUUAUGUCCAGGGCUGCACGCAUGCUACAAUGGCCGGUACAAAGGGCUGCGAUACCGCAAGGUGGAGCGAAUCCCAUAAAGCCGGUCUCAGUUCGGAUUGGGGUCUGCAACUCGACCCCAUGAAGUCGGAGUCGCUAGUAAUCGCAGAUCAGCAACGCUGCGGUGAAUACGUUCCCGGGCCUUGUACACACCGCCCGUCACGUCACGAAAGUCGGUAACACCCGAAGCCGGUGGCCUAACCUUUUGGAGGGAGCCGUCGAAGGUGGGACUGGCGAUUGGGACGAAGUCGUAACAAGGUAGCCGUACCGGAAGGUGCGGCUGGAUCACCUCCUUUAUG
rnacentral:rRNA from 1 species